UACGAAGGGGGCUAGCGUUGCUCGGAAUGACUGGGCGUAAAGGGCGCGUAGGCGGGUCGUUAAGUCGGGGGUGAAAUCCUGGAGCUCAACUCCAGAACUGCCUUCGAUACUGGCGAUCUUGAGUCUGGGAGAGGUGAGUGGAACUCCGAGUGUAGAGGUGAAAUUCGUAGAUAUUCGGAAGAACACCAGUGGCGAAGGCGGCUCACUGGCCCGGUACUGACGCUGAGGUGCGAAAGCGUGGGGAGCAAACAGG
rnacentral:rRNA from 1 species